CAGGUGUAACGCAUUGAGCUGGGUGAGCUGGGCAGCCUUGGAGUUGAAAGGACCCCAGGAAUCCAGUCCAGGUCCCCUGUGGUGCAAAUGGGGAAACUGAGGUCCGGACAGGGAGAGGACCUCACCCAGCCGGUGGCUGCCAGAUGGAGUCUUAUUCUGUCGCCCAGGCUGGAGUGCAGUGGCACAAUCUCGGCUCACUGCAACCUUCACUUCCCUGGUUCCAGCGAUUCUCCUACCUCAGCCUCUCAAGUAGCUGGGGCCACAGGCGUGAGCCACCAUGCCCAGGUAAUUUUUGUAUUUUUAGUAGAGACUGGGUUUUGCCAUGUUGCCCAGGCUGGUCUCAAACUCCUGGGCUCAAGUAAUCUGCCCACCUGGGCCUCCCAAAGUGCUGGGAUUACAGGCAUGAGCUACUAUGCCCAGCCAAAACCUCUUCUCCACAUUCUCAUCCACACUCCUCAUUUUCCGUUUUACUUUUAUUGUAGCCAUCCUAGUGGGCACAAAGUGGUAUAUUAGUGUGGCUUUGACUUACAUUUCCUUUUUUUUUUUUUUGAGACAGUCUCACUGUCACCCAGGUUGGAGUGUAGUUGGUGAAUCUCAGCUCACUGCAACCUCCACCUCCCAGGUUCAAGCAGUUCUCCUGCCUCAGCCUCCCGAGUAGCUGGGAUUACAUGCGCACACCACCAUGCCUGGCAACUUUUUGUAUUUUUAGUAGAGACGGGGUUUCACCAUGUUGGCCAGGCUUGUCUCAAACUCCUGAUCUGAGGUGAUCCACCCGCCUGGGCCUCCUAAAGUGCUGGGAUUACAGGUGUGAGCCACCAACCCCGGCCUUACAUUUCCUUCAUGACUAAUGGUGGUGAGCAUCUUUUCAUGUACUUGUUAGUCACUUGUACGUAUUACUGAAGAAAUGUAUAUUCAAGUCCUUUGACCCUUUUUGAAUUGGGUUGUUUAUCGUUUUGUUGAGUUGUAAGAGUUCUUUAUAUAUUCUGGAUAUCUGACCCUUAUAAGACAUAAUUUACAGACAUGUUCUCCCAUUCUGUGGGUUGCCUUUUUACUCUUGAUACAGGUUGAGUACCCACAUUCGCAAUCAUGUGAGGCGGGGUCCACCUUCUGUUCCACCGUGUAAGCCAUCACCAGGCUUUAGCCAAACCAUCCUUCCCCCUAGGCUGUGAGCCCACCUAGAUUCCCAUCACCACGUAAAUGAGAAUGUGAUGGGUGCCCCUUUUGGGGUUCCAUAGGCCAGUGAGAAGCAGUGAAUUCGGGGUGCUCACAGCUCCAGGGAUAGAUCAUGAUGCUCAGAGUCAUGAGAAACAGCAUGAGCUGCAGAAUAACACUGGCCCACAGCCACGCAGCCACAUGUGUGCUUGUGUAAGGCUCGACACACAGCUAAAGAACAAAUAUCAGCCUCAUUAAGAGGCAGCCUUGGGCUGGGUACAGUGGCUCACACCUUUAUCUCAGCACUUUGGGAGACCAAGACAAGUGGAUCACAAGGUCACAAGUUCAAGACCAGCCUGGCCAACACAGUGAGACCCCCGUCUCUACUAAAACUACACAAAUUACAACAGGGGGCGGUGGCUCACACCUGUAAUCCCAGCACUUUGGGAGGCCAAAAGGCAGGCAGAUCACCUGAGGUUGGGAGUUCCGGACCAGCCUGAUCAACGUGGAGAAACCUCAUCUCUACUAAAAAUACAAAAAAUUAGCUGGGUGUGGUGGCGGGCACCUGUAGUCCCAGCUACUCAGGAGUCUGACGCAUGAGAAUGGCAUGAACCUGGGAGGUGGAGUUUGCAGUGAGCCGACGUCACGCCACUGCACUCCAGCCUGGAGGACAGAGCAAGACUCCAGCUUAAAAAAAAAAAUUUUGCCAGGUGUGGUGGUGCAUGCCUGUAAUCUCAGCUACUGGGAAGGCUGAGGCAGGAGCAUCACUUGAACUCGGGAAGCAGAGGUUGCAGUGAUCUGAGAUUUCACCACUACACUCCAGCCUGGGCGACACAGCAAGACUCCAUCUCAGGAAAAAAGAAGGCGGCAACCUUGGCAGGGGAGGAAGAGGAGAAGAGGGCUGGAGGAAGUACAUACAGGAGAACACAUUACAAUUAAAUAAAACGAGCACUGUCUCACAUGGACCUGUUGGGUCUGGAAUUGGUUCCUUCCGGUGGGUUCUUGGUCUUGCUGAUUUCAAGAAUGAAGCCACGGACCCUCCCCAUGAGUAUCACAGUUCUUAAAAAUGGUGUGUCCAGAGUUUGUUCUUCCAGAUGUUUGGAUGUGUCCAGAAUUGCUGCCUGCUGCUGGGUUCGUGGUCUUGCUGACUUCAGGAGUGAAGCCGCAGACCUUCUCAGUGGGUGUUAUGGCUUAAAGGUGGCACGUGCAGUGUUGUUUGUUCCUCCCCGUGCAUUCAUGGUCUCCCUGGCUUCAGGAGGGAAGCUGCAGACCCUUGCAGUUAAGUGUUACAGCUCUUAAAGAUGGCACGUCUGGAGUUCUUUGUUCCUCCCCGUGGGUUCCUGAUCUUGCUGGUUUCAGAAGUGAAGCUGCAGAGUUUUGCCACUGGAGUGUUACAGCUCUUAAAAAUGGCACGUCCGGAGUUGUUCCUACCUCGCAGUGGGUUCAUGGUCUUGUUGGCUUCAGGAAUGAAACCACAGACCUUUGUCGUGAGUGUUACAGCUCAAAAAGGUAGUGCGGACCUAAACACUGAGCAGCAGCAAAAUUCAUCAUCAAAAGCAAAAAAACAGAACCAGGGAGCAUCUUCGUUGCUGGCUCGGGUGGCCAGCUUUUAUUCCCUUAUUUGGCC
rnacentral:lncRNA from 1 species